rnacentral:rRNA from 1 species
UACGUAGGGUGCAAGCGUUGUCCGGAAUUAUUGGGCGUAAAGAGCUCGUAGGCGGCUCGUCGCGUCGGCUGUGAAAACCUGGGGCUCAACCCCGGGCCUGCAGCCGAUACGGGCGAGCUAGAAUUCGGUAGGGGAGACUGGAAUUCCUGGUGUAGCGGUGAAAUGCGCAGAUAUCAGGAGGAACACCGGUGGCGAAGGCGAGUCUCUGGACAUUUCCUGACGCUGAGGCACGAAAGCCAGGGGAGCAAACGGG